rnacentral:lncRNA from 1 species
AAAUCUAAUCUAAAUCCUGACGGUAAUCGAAGAGGAUAAGUGCCAACGACUUCUGCAGCAACUUUUGCUCCAUUGCUGAUCCGAAGGAUCAUGUCACCUUCCCUCAACCUUCUACUUUCUAUUAGACCUUGCAUUGAGGUACAUAUAUGAGCACUCAAAUCAGAGUCCAAUAUCUAAUUAGAAGUAGAAGAAACCGUAAGGUUAGAUUCAAUUAUGAGUAUUCCUUCUGAAAGUUUAUCACCCUUCUUAGUCUUUAGACUCUCCAAGU